rnacentral:siRNA from 1 species
AUGCAAGAUGAUCCUAAAUGCCUA